CCGGACAUGCGCGCACGGACUCGCAUCGCGAAAAGCCUGCUGCACCCGUCCAAGGCUGAUCUACACGUGCUCAAGUUAGUCCGUGUUCUUCUUGGACCAGCUCGAUUCUGACCUCAGAUCAGAUGAUGCUGAUGAGACAUGUCAUGUCUCUUACAGCAGUCCAGAAAGGCCCGGGCUCCUCUCGGGUCACAGCCAGCCACGGACCCCUGUGCGCACUGUCCGCAACACUCCCAUCUCCCGGACUUGUCAUGCCAUCGGUGGACCACCCCACCGCUUAACCCUGAAAAGAGCAGAAACAGGUCCAUCUCUGCCUGGACAUUCAGGGUCAGCCAAGCCCAAGUGAACCCGGAUUGUGUGAGCCAAGAUACGCAGGUCACUGUACUCUAGAAUGUUUUCAGUAUGUUUUAAAAUGAUACAAGUCAGGGGUUUCUGUUACACCCAGGUUGACUUAUGUUUUGUAAUAAACACUACCAAAGGCCUACGGCAUUCAAGUUGAUUUUCACUCUUGUAAUAUGAAUGGGUUAUAGUAGGGGCUAUAGUACUGUAAGACUGUAAAAGAACCCACAGUAGGUGUCUGGUUUGGAUUUGUACAUCUUGUUUUGUACAUCUUGUUUAUAGAACGUUUUCACAAACUCAUUUCACCAUGGGUUGUGUGACCAAUGAAAUUCAAUGUGGUAAUUUGUUUACAGAACAUUUUGUAUUUGAUUUAUAAAUAAAAGGUUUUAAAUUU